rnacentral:lncRNA from 10 species
CAGAAAGGGCAAGGGGAAGAUGUAGGCAGGAGAUUUUAUUGUGGGAAGUAGCUUAAAAUUGAUUAGUUUGAAUAAUUUCCAUGGGCUCUGGAAUAUGGGAACGGUCUCUAGUUGUCUGGUACCUGGCCCUAGGAUAAUUAGAGUGGAGGAAUAUUGCCUCUUCAAGUGUAGGAGCCAGAUAGAGAAGGUGGCUCAAAGUAUGAGCUCCAGAUUGGUUAGUUUAGCUUGCAUAUGAAAGGCACACUUCUGGGCGAGUCCUUUGCUAUCUCUAGAAUUAACUAGCCCUGGAAAGGGCAGUCUCUUCCCAGGCAAUGAGGCCCCAGAUGCCAGACCAUCAAGAGUACAGAAGCACUAUCCCCAUCUGGAAAUACUGAGUUCCAGGAAGACAGGGACCUAAUGUGUCUUGUUGACCACUGUACCCCAAGGACUGGCAUAUGGAGGAAAUGCUGGAAUAUGCUGCUGGUAAUGGGAAAUGGUCUCUGGUUUGCAGAUGGAUAAUCAAGUUGAAAGAAGGAAAGAAAACCUCUGCAUCAGGACACAGAGCAAGAUCUCUGAUUCUCCCGGGGUGCUGUUUAAUCCGUGGUCAGAAUGCUUAUAUGUCUUCCUUUAACAAUUACUUAAAACCAGUCAAGAUCAUUCUUGGCACUUUUUUGGUUGCUUUUUCCAGCUUUGAAAUAAAGUGCAAUUUGCAUUCCUUAAAAAUCUAAGCAGUGAGGAAGAGUUAAGUGUCUUAAAAUUAAUGAGUUGCAUUUAAACUUUUGUGUGAGCUCCAAGUCUGACAGAUUGGGCGGUCUUGGAAGUGAAAUUGUUAUUCAGAAAGGAUGUGUCCUUGGUGGUCCCUAGUCGAGGAAAGUCAGUGGGAAGAAAGAAAAUGAGGAAAACCAAUUACCGCAAUUUGUACACCAAGA